rnacentral:rRNA from 1 species
GACGAACGCUGGCGGCGUGCUUAACACAUGCAAGUCGAACGGAAAGGCCCUGCUUUUGUGGGGUGCUCGAGUGGCGAACGGGUGAGUAACACGUGAGUAACCUGCCCUUGACUUUGGGAUAACUUCAGGAAACUGGGGCUAAUACCGGAUAGGAGCUCCUGCUGCAUGGUGGGGGUUGGAAAGUUUCGGCGGUUGGGGAUGGACUCGCGGCUUAUCAGCUUGUUGGUGGGGUAGUGCUUACCAAGGCUUUGACGGGUAGCCGGCCUGAGAGGGUGACCGGCCACAUUGGGACUGAGAUACGGCCCAGACUCCUACGGGAGGCAGCAGUGGGGAAUAUUGCACAAUGGGCGGAAGCCUGAUGCAGCAACGCCGCGUGCGGGAUGACGGCUUUCGGGUUGUAAACCGCUUUCGCCUGUGACGAAGCGUGAGUGACGGUAAUGGGUAAAGAAGCACCGGCUAACUACGUG